GGGACAAAAAGAAGUAUUGCCAUUUCCACCGGGAUCAUAACCAUGAUCUCGAGGAAUGCAGGCAACUGCGGGAUAAAAUAGAAAUCUUGGUGCACCGAGGUUACCUCGAUAAAUAUGUGAGGUCGAGCAAAGCCAUUGAGUAUUGGCUUCAGAUAGAAGAUAGCUCUGAGGAUCAUAAUCGACCAACAAUCGGAGUCAUACACAUGAUAUCCAGUGUCCCACAGAGCAUUAGUGAUCCAUCCCCCA
rnacentral:lncRNA from 1 species